rnacentral:antisense_RNA from 1 species
AAGAAUCAAGAACAAAGCCCUGACCUGUUCAGGACAGCAAAGACAAGGCUGGGUUUCCAGCAGAAGCCAGAGUGCGGCCGGUGCUGAGGAGUCUCUUCUGAGCACCACGUCCCUCGGCAAUGCCGCCGAAAAAGAGAGCUCCUGGCCGAGAAUCACAUGAAAAUGGACAGGGCCGUUUAUACCAACACAACGCCCUCUCAGCCCCAUCGUGCACAAACGCAGCGCAGAGCCCCAGCCUUGAGAGUGGAGCAGCCAAGCCAGGGGGAACUCUGGGCCCCUCUGCCACCCACAGCCCCAGUGGCCGAGGCCCAGGGCAGCGCAAGGUUGCCCAUCAGUGGAGGUGGGAGGUCAUUCCCACCUCCACUUGCCUGCCCGGAGCAGAAAGGGACGCAGGAGGAAGCAAGACGGCUUACCUGGCCAUGGCUGAAGAAGAGCAGGGCUCCCGAGUACAUGAGCUCCCGGGCCUCCGCGUGCUUGCUCUGGGACAUGUACCUGCCACAGAGAGGAGACCGUGAGCCGCGCCCACGUGCCCUCGCCACCGCACUCCCCCGCUCAUCUCCAGGUCAGAAGCUAAAAACAAAGCGCCCAGGAACAGGUUGCAUCCUAAAAGCAGCCGCUCCCAGGGCCCAGGUGCUGCGUGGAGGGGGUCUAUCCUGGGUGUCCUGCUGACCAUGAGGGCUGCAUGGGGCGCCUCUGGACACUAAGGGCCUAUCUGUGUCCAAACACACCAGGAGCCAGAAAGCAGCCUCACCCUGGAGCAGCUCACCGGUUUCAGUAGCUGGGACCAGAAAGGCCACUGGGCAGGGCAGGUGCGCAGGGAAGGAGCAGGGGAUGUGCAUGUGGCCACCUGAGAGCUGAGCGGCCACAGGCAGGAGCCAAAGGAUGGGGGGCUCCAGGCUGGGGUCCCACGGGGGACAGUAACGGCUGUGACAGCACCUUCUUCCCCCACGGGGCGUGUCCCCGCCCUCUGCCCCUCUGCGUGCCACACCCCUCCCCCCACGGGAGGGAAGGGUCUGGGGUGCCCCGUUGCAUCAUGCUCGCCCUGCAUCACGUCCCCACUCCCAGAGCACCGCUGGCAGGGAAAGCUGGAGCUCCUCAGGCCGCACAGGGACAGAGGCACGGGGUGGCGAGAGGUAUGGUGGGGACCAGCGCGUGACAGACGAUGUGGAGAGAAGCCGAGAUGGCCGCACUGCUGUAAGCAGCAGAGCCCCUGCCUGCGAGAGCAGCAGGCGUGGAGGGCAGGAGGCAGCCUCUGCUUGGAUGCGCUGCACCUCCCAGUCCAGUGGUGGGGCCCAGAACAUGUUAUUUCAUCGGCUACACGUUUUUCUUAAUGAUCGCUGCCUUAUUAUCAAAAGAUACAUAACGAGUGAAUCAGCUCUGUGCCUGCAAGCCAAAUGUCCUUGGACAAAGCCUUGUUUAAAAAUAAAUCUAGUUAAAGAAAAAUACUAAGUAAACAGCAAUGCACACCGGAUUCGGGGGCUCACACCUGUAAUCUCAGCCCUUUGGGAGGCUGAGGUAGGAGGAUCGCUUGAGCUCAUGAGUUUGAGACUGGCCUGGGCAACAUAGUGAGACCUUGUCUCUACAAAAAACACAGAAAUUAGCUGGGCAUGGUGGUAUGCACCUGUGGUCCCAGCUACUCGGGAGGCUGAGGUGGGAGGACUGCUUGAGUCCGGGUGGUCAAGGCCGCAGUAAGCCAUGAUUGCACCACUGCCUAGACGGAUGACACAGCAAGCCGCCAUCCCCCCAAAACAAACAAACAAAAAACAAUUGCAGUGGAGGUGAUAAAGAGACACAGCAACGCCACUGAGGACCAGAAUGACCUUGGUGUUGCCAGGACGGGAAGGCCAGCCGAGAACGCAAAGGGCUGGAUGCUCAGUUAACCACAGAAAAGGGUUCCUCUUCAGAAGGCACCACAGCCAGGGACCCCAAACACAGACAGCCCCGCCACAUCCGGGCAUCUCAUUAGCCCGGCACACAGGCCCUCCCCCGACAGGAGACCCCUUCGUGCUGCACAGAGGCAGGGCACCAGGAGGGAAAAGCCUGCACCCAAGAGAGAAAGUGCCCCCGCACCCCCGUCAGCCUGCAGGCCAUUGGCAGGCCUCCGGUUUUGCUGUGCUCCCCGCACAGUGAAGGUUCUGGAGGGAGACCCACCCCAACACCACAGCAGGAGCCUCGACAGGACCACUGACUCUGUGACCGGCCAUCCUAGUUCCAGUCCUGCAGGGACAUGACUGACUCAGAGGAGGCCGGGAGCCGUCUGGCACAGGGCACUCUGGAAAAACAAGCUCCCAGACACGCCCGGCCUCACGAUGCCGCCGGUGGGGCCGUGGGCAGAACCACAUGCACCGACCCUGAGCAAGCACCACAUCAGCUUCUGCUUUGCUGAUACUACAGCGUUCUGGAUGCUUCUAUCUGAGGUAAAGCAAGAGGUGGCGACUUAGAAACCAGAAGAAAAAAAGGACUCCCUGGAAGGCAGUGACCCAUAUUCCUGCACGAGGAGCCUGCUCUGGGGGGCACUGCCGAUGGUCACGGCCCCCGGCCUGGUUUGGACUGCGCCUUGCGGCCAGCUCCCUUCUUCCCUGGGCAGCUGGGAGCCGGGCAAGGGGAAAAAGGACGGGAGGAGAAUUCUGGGCACACAGUGGUCCCCGGCCUGGCUGGGGGCACCCGUUUCCAGGUCCAGGAAUGCCGGUGACAGGCAAACCGUCUAAGGCGGCUCUGAACGUGGACGGCUUCUCCUCCUGUACUGGAGAAUUCUGGAAGCUGCGAAGGAUUUUGGUUUCCAGGUGACUAAGCCAGGACAGGUACCCUCUCAAGCCCGAGGCUGGGGAGAGUGGGGGGCAGCUGGGCAUGGCCGGGCCUUCUCCCGGCCUGGCUCUGCACGCUGCGCACUAUUGGCCGUGCCGUGUGGACACCCAGACAUGCCUUCCAGAUAGGGAAACGGCUUCUGCCUGCUGACAGGCGCUGAGAGUCAGCGAGCGCUGGUGCUCUCUGCCAGCCAAAACAUCUGUAUCCACAGAGCAAAGUGUCUGGGCAAACAAUCUAGCUGAUUUUGCUCUUCUCUUACAAAAACAUUAAAAAGCAGAACACAGAAACGCAAGCAUUAGAACUAGUGGCCGAGACUGUCGGUGUCAAAUGAAGAAAGACCGAGCUCAUGGGGCGAAUCCCGCCCUUCUCUCUUGGCAGACGGAAGCUGGCUUGCACGUUCAGCUGUCAGAGAUACGUGAAGGAUGAAGAGGAAAUACUCAAGACACACACAGGUGCCUCGGGACGGGGCCAGAGGAGAUUUCACAAGGACCCCUCCGCCAACUGCCGCGAGCUAAAGCACACUCACGCCCCGACGCAGGGCUGGCUGAACGCGCCUGUAAGGAGGGCUGAGGACUGCUCUGCUCUGCCAGGAGUCACUCCGAGAAGGGACCUGAGCCGGCAGGUAUAGCUCCUUCACAAGACGCUCCUCUUACGCCCUGGGCUACGGUGUGCACAGCACACACUAGACCAUUUUCCUUUUAAAAAUCUCUUUAGAUGACUGAAGAGACAAAAGAAGGUCAGAGGCCGCAAUAAAAAAAAUCACGCAAACACACUGCAGGAGGAGCCAAGUGGCAGGAAGAGCCAGACCCACGACCGUGCGGGCAGACAGGGGGGCGGCUGCUGCAGGUCACAGCCUCCUGGGCUGCGGUCUCAGCCACACCAAGUUUCUAAAUGCCAAUCUACAAAUACUACAGCCAAGGCUGAGGCUCCUCAAGACCUGGAUGGUGGCUCCGAAGUGCCCCAAUAAUCCAUUUGGCCUGGGAGCUGACUCCUCGUCCCAGCAGGGAGAAGUCUGGAGAAAGCAGGUGAUGACCACAACCCGCGCCGUCCCCGGGGCAAGGUCGGCCGCCCAUAACUCGCGCCGUCCACGGGGCAAGGUCGGCCGCCCACAACCCGUGCCAUCCCCGGGCGGCAAGGUCGGCCGCCCAUAACUCACGCCGUCCACGGGGCAAGGUCGGCCGCCCACAACCCGUGCCAUCCCCGGGGCAAGGUCGGCCGCCCAUAACUCGCGCCGUCCACGGGGCAAGGUCAGUUUCUCUCUAGCGUAACCACACGAACCAGGAACUGCUGCCCGACUUCUGCGGGGCACACAUCCAGGGACACCAACCUGUUGGGUUCCCAAUUCCUUCCCUCUCCUUCACCUUCAACUGCUGUGGCUGUGAGUUAAAAUGGCAUCUCGGGAACGCUUGUACCUGCUGGUGGGAGUGUAAAUUAGUUGAACCAUCCUGGAAAGCAGUCUGGCAAUUCUUAAAAGAACUAAAAACAGAACUACCGUUCGACCCAGCAACCCCACUACUGGGUUAUGGCCAGGGGACUCUAAAUGGUUCUACCAUGAAGACGCACGCACUCAAAUGCCCACUGCAGCACCACUCACAACAGCACCGACAUGGAAUCAAGCUGGGGCCUGUCAGCGGCAGACGGAUAAAGAGGAUGUGGUCCAUAUACACCGCGGAAUACUAUGCAGCCAUAAAAAGGAACGAGAUCAUGCCCUUUGCAGGAACUUGGAUGGAGCUGGAGGCCAUUAUCCUUCGCAAACUAAUGCGGGGACAGAAUCCCGGGCACUGCACUUCCCCACUUACAAGUGGAAGCUGAAUGAUGAGAACACAGGGACAGAAAGGGGCGAACAACACACACUGGGGCCGGCCUGAGGGAAGAGGGAGAGGCUCAGAAAACCAUUUUAACAAAACUGUCAGGUACCCAUGCUUGGUACCCGGUGCUGAAAUGAUCUGUACGACAAACCCUAGUCACUAGUUUACCUAUAUACCAAGCCUGCACACAGACCUGAGGCUAAAAUAAACAUUAGCAUAUUUAAAAAUAAAUCAACUAAGCCUGCACACCUGCCCGAGGCUAAAAUAAACAUAAGAAUAUUUAAAAAUAAGUCAACAAACAGUAUCUUUUGGUAAAUUUACCCGACAGCUGAAGGGAUAAAUGAUUGUGCUGGAGACACACAGGGAAAACCACUCAGCGAUAAAAGGAACUGCGGACGCUCCAGGAGGAGUCUCCCAGCCUCCGUGGUGAAUGAAUUCAAGCGGUUAGACAGAAAGUGCGCACUGUGAUUCCACAUACGUAAAACUCCAGGAAACGCCACCUCACCUAAGUGCAGCCCGCAGAUGCACAGGUGCCGGGGAUGGGGUGGGGUGGGGUGGGAGUAGGGGCGAGGAGGCCUGGUUGCAGAGCCCCACAGUGCCGUGGUAUUUCUGUGUCUUGACUGGUCAUAGUUCAUUCAUGUCAGACCUCACCAAAUUAUACAUUUUACAUAAAUAUUUAAAUGUAAAUGUGCAAUUACAUAUAUUUAUUGACAGAAAAGCAUUUUAAAAAAUGGCUGGGUGCUAUGGCUCCCACCUAUAAUCCCUGCACUUUGGGAGGCUGGGGCGGGCGGAUCACCUGAGGUCAGGAGUUCGAGACCAGCCUGGCCAACAUGGUGAAACUCCGUCUCUACAAGAAAUACAAAAAUUGGCCAGGCGUGGUGGCGGGCACCUGUAGUCCCAGCUACUCAUGAGGCUGAGGCACGAGAAUUGCCUGAACCCAAGAGGCAGAGGCUGCAGUGAGCUGAGAUCGCGCCACUGCUCUCCAUCCUGAGCGACAGAGCAAGACUCUGUCUCAAAAAACAAAAAGCAUAACUUGGGGAAUGUGACUUCUCUGGCAGCGACACACCCAUGGAGUACUCUGAAGCAGAGCUGGGAAUCCACACGGAAUUCUACCCCGGAAAGACAACGACGGUGUCUCAGUGGGUGACAGCGAGGUGACAGCUGCCGCUGCUGACUCAGUCUUCAUUCCUGGCUUGAAAGGCUCCAAGCCAAGGUUUGAGAGGUUCAGUAACGUGUCCCGGGCCCCCUAAGAGGUGGCGUGUGACCCCAAAGCCCAGGCUUUCCGAGCUAAGCCACACCGUGCCCCUGCCAGGUGACCUCAUGAUGUCACAUGCGGCCAGCAGGACCUGCUGUCUAGAGGGCUUAAGGGAGCAGAAUGCUCAUCACCCCCCGUUUCACUGUGAAAAUUCACCCUUGACCAGGGACUCAUCACUGAAAACCAAAACUGACAAAUCCCUCGUCACCGUAGAAGUGGCUCAAAACAAGGAACACUGUGUUUAUUUCGGGGGAGAUCCAUUUUUGCUGGUUAAUCACUGGGCAAAUAUUUAUUUAUUUAUCGAGACAGAAUUUCUCUCAUCGCCCAGGCUGGAGCGCAGUGGCGUGACCUCGGCUCACCACAACCUCCGCCUCCUGGGUUCAAGCGAUUCUCCUGCCUCGGCCUCUGGAGCAGCUGGGAUUAUAGGCAUGCGCCACCACACCCAGCUAAUUCUGUAUUUUUAGUAGAGACAGGGUUUCUCCAUGUUGGCCAGGCUGGUCUUGAACUCCCAACCUCAGGUGAUCUGCCCGCCUCGGCCUCCCAGAGUGUUGGGAUUACAGGCAUGAGCCACUGCGCCCGGCAAAUUGGGCAAAUAUUUAUAUACAAAUUCCUAGGCACGGCAGGCAUCAGGGUGAAUCUUGAACAGCAUAAAAGUUCCCCAUCACACAGCUCUAUGGCUGGCCCCUCUACCCACGGGAAGGCUCGCGUUGUACGGUUUAGUGCCUCCUGACACCUUUGCCUUGAUCCCUGAAGAACAAUCGGGUUGAAGGCGCUAUCACAACCCGUGCCAUUUGGGAGCUGCUAAAUGUUCAGUGACAAAUUCAACCGGCAUUAAAAACGUUUUGCUAUAAA